UUAUGGCUCAGGACGAACGCUGGCGGCGUGCUUCAUACAUGCAAGUCGAACGAUAAGGUUCCUUCGGGAAUACAUAAGUGGCGGACGGGUGAGUAAUAUGUAGAGAAUCUGCCCUGAAGAGGGGGACAACAGAGGGAAACUUCUGCUAAUACCCCAUAUGCGCGUAGUUGAGAUACUAUUCGUGAAAGAUUUAUCGCUUCAGGAUGAGUCUGCAUCUGAUUAGCUAGUUGGGGGUGUAAUGGACCACCAAGGCGACGAUCAGUAGCUGGUUUGAGAGGAUGAUCAGCCACAAUGGGACUGAGACACGGCCCAUACUCCUACGGGAGGCAGCAGUAGGGAAUUUUGCGCAAUGGGCGAAAGCCUGACGCAGCAACGCCCGCGUGAUCGCAGACGGCCUUCGGGUUGUAAAGAUCUGUCAGCAGGGACGAACAAUGACUGUACCUGCAGAGGAAGCACCGGCUAACUCCGUGCCAGCAGCCGC
rnacentral:rRNA from 1 species